GGUCAGGGAGGCCCGGCCCGCGCCCUCCCCGCCCAGCCGCCUCCCCGUCGACCACCCAGGGCUGGGGCGAGCCAGGCUGCCUUUCGAACUUGGGGGCUUCUCCUCUUGUCUCCCACUGGUGCUCUGGCCGUGAAUCCAUCCAGGCGCCAGGAGAUGACAAUCCGGUACCAAGGCCGGCAGUACAGGCUGAGGAUGGCAUUUCUCCAAAAGGUUUCCAAGCUGCGUCCUGGGCCUGGAGACUGAGACAGAGAUCCACGGACUGCAGUGCAGGCAGCCCACCCCAGAUCCGAGUCAUAUAAGGUUGAAAUAUCAGUAAAAAACAUGCAGACCCAAAGAUGGGGACCAAAAUCCAAAGCCAGAGGGUCCUGGAAAUCAGAGGGUCUUACAACAUAACAGGCAGUACAGGCCAUGGCUCAGGCUAGGCGUGGAACAGACUGCAGUUCUCUUCUACAAAUCAAUCUAGACUGGACAGACAGAACUCCAAGGGAGGAAAGAAAAAUGAAUCUGAUGUUACUUCUUGAAACCACAUUUUCUGAAGUCACCAUUUUUAUGUAUCUAUCAACUCAUCAUUUUUAUGUCCAGUCACAUCUUCUAUGCCUAUCUCAGCUGCUGACACGUGACUCAGCUGCUCCCAUUUUCCU
rnacentral:lncRNA from 10 species